AACACAAAUGAGAGCUCAUAAUGUAACACCACUGCUAAAAUUCUAAAGCUUUUUCCCAGUAUGCAUGGAGAUGAAUUACAGAGUCUCUGGAAGAACCAGUCUGAUCCAUAACACACCCAACACAGGCCGACAUCUUACUAAAAUCUGAGAGGGACCAGUGUGGUGCCAGGUGUUUUCCAUCUGUCUGGACCCACUGGCUGCUGAAUUCAAGGACCCUGAUUCAUUACUCCCUGCGUCAUUUGCUGACCUUCCCAUGAG
rnacentral:lncRNA from 1 species